rnacentral:rRNA from 1 species
CCCUUAGAUGUUCUGGGCCGCACGCGCGCUACACUGAUGCAUUCAACGAGUUUCUUCCUGGUCCGAGAGGAAUGGGUAACCUUUUGAAAGUGCAUCGUGAUAGGGAUAGACUAUUGCAAUUAUUGGUCUUCAACGAGGAAUUCCUAGUAGACGUAGUUCAUCAGACUGCAUGGAUUACGUCCCUGCCCUUUGUACACACCGCCCGUCGCUCCUACCGAUUGAGUGAGCCGAUGAAACUGCCGGAUGUGGACUAUUCAUAGUCUGCAGAAGAUAUUUGAAUCGUAGCGCUUAGAGGAAGGAGAAGUCGUAACA